GAUGAACGCUGGCGGCGUGCCUAAUACAUGCAAGUCGAGCGAACAGACGAGGAGCUUGCUCCUUCGACGUUAGCGGCGGACGGGUGAGUAACACGUAGGUAACCUACCUAUAAGACUGGGAUAACUUCGGGAAACCGGAGCUAAUACCGGAUAAUAUUUCGAACCGCAUGGUUCGAUAGUGAAAGAUGGCUUUGCUAUCACUUAUAGAUGGACCUGCGCCGUAUUAGCUAGUUGGUAAGGUAACGGCUUACCAAGGCAACGAUACGUAGCCGACCUGAGAGGGUGAUCGGCCCCACUGGAACUGAGACACGGUCCAGACUCCUACGGGAGGCAGCAGUAGGGAAUCUUCCGCAAUGGGCGAAAGCCUGACGGAGCAACGCCGCGUGAGUGAUGAAGGUCUUCGGAUCGUAAAACUCUGUUAUUAGGGAAGAACAAACGUGUAAGUAACUGUGCACGUCUUGACGGUACCUAAUCAGAAAGCCACGGCUAACUACGUG
rnacentral:rRNA from 1 species